AGUGGGGAAUAUUGCACAAUGGGCGCAAGCCUGAUGCAGCGACGCCGCGUGAGGGAUGACGGCCUUCGGGUUGUAAACCUCUUUCAGUAGGGAAGAAGCGAAAGUGACGGUACCUGCAGAAGAAGCGCCGGCUAACUACGUGCCAGCAGCCGCGGUAAUACGUAGGGCGCAAGCGUUAUCCGGAAUUAUUGGGCGUAAAGAGCUCGUAGGCGGUUUGUCGCGUCUGCCGUGAAAGUCCGGGGCUCAACUCCGGAUCUGCGGUGGGUACGGGCAGACUAGAGUGAUGUAGGGGAGACUGGAAUUCCUGGUGUAGCGGUGAAAUGCGCAGAUAUCAGGAGGAACACCGAUGGCGAAGGCAGGUCUCUGGGCAUUAACUGACGCUGAGGAGCGAAAGCAUGGGGAGCGAACAGGAUUAGAUACCCUGGUAGUCCAUGCCGUAAACGUUGGGCACUAGGUGUGGGGGACAUUCCACGUUUUCCGCGCCGUAGCUAACGCAUUAAGUGCCCCGCCUGGGGAGUACGGCCGCAAGGCUAAAACUCAAAGGAAUUGACGGGGGCCCGCACAAGCGGCGGAGCAUGCGGAUUAAUUCGAUGCAACGCGAAGAACCUUACCAAGGCUUGACAUGAACCGGUAAGACCUGGAAACAGGUCCCCCGCUUGCGGUCGGUUUACAGGUGGUGCAUGG
rnacentral:rRNA from 1 species